AUUGAACGCUGGCGGAAUGCUUUACACAUGCAAGUCGAACGGCAGCACGGGGCAACCUGGUGGCGAGUGGCGAACGGGUGAGUAAUACAUCGGAACGUGCCCAAUCGUGGGGGAUAACGUAGCGAAAGUUACGCUAAUACCGCAUACGAUCUACGGAUGAAAGCGGGGGAUCGCAAGACCUCGCGCGAAUGGAGCGGCCGAUGUCAGAUUAGGUAGUUGGUGGGGUAAAGGCUCACCAAGCCGACGAUCUGUAGCUGGUCUGAGAGGACGACCAGCCACACUGGGACUGAGACACGGCCCAGACUCCUACGGGAGGCAGCAGUGGGGAAUUUUGGACAAUGGGCGCAAGCCUGAUCCAGCCAUUCCGCGUGCAGGAUGAAGGCCUUCGGUUGUAAACUGCUUUGUACGGAACGAAAAGGACUCUGGUUAAUACCUGGAGUUUAUGACGGUACCGUAAGAAUAAGCACCGGCUAACUACGUGCCAGCAGCCGCGGUAAUGAGU
rnacentral:rRNA from 1 species